AUCUGCCUGGCUCCCUGUAUGCCAUCUGCGUUGCUUAUCAAGAGCGGGAUAUGCCUCACAGUUGGCAUAGAGAGAGCCAAGCAGAA
rnacentral:pre_miRNA from 1 species